rnacentral:lncRNA from 1 species
GCUUGGUCCUCGACUGUGGUUAUGUGGGGUAUAUACCAGUCCUCAAUCGUGAUAGUAAACCGCAUAAAGAUUUGCAUGAAAAAUAUGUUCCACUUCUUGACUGUAGCCAAGAAUUGCGUGUUUGACGAGUUGAAUAGAGAACACGUUCCGCUCCUUGACCAUAAGAUCGCAUGUUUGGCGAGUUGAAUAGAGAACACAUUCUGCUCCUUAGUCGUAGCCGAGAAUCAUGUGUUUGGCGAGUUGAAUGGAGAACAUAUUCCACUCCUCGAUCGUAGUCAAGGACCAUGUAUUUUUAAAGAUUGGCAUGAAAAAUACAUUCUGCUCCUCAACCG